UACGAAGGGGGCUAGCGUUGCUCGGAAUCACUGGGCGUAAAGGGUGCGUAGGCGGGUCUUAAGUCAGGGGUGAAAUCCUGGAGCUCAACUCCAGAACUGCCUUUGAUACUGAAGAUCUUGAGUUCGGGAGAGGUGAGUGGAACUGCGAGUGUAGAGGUGAAAUUCGUAGAUAUUCGCAAGAACACCGGUGGCGAAGGCGGCUCACUGGCCCGGUACUGACGCUGAGGUGCGAAAGCGUGGGGAGCAAACAGG
rnacentral:rRNA from 1 species